ensembl:ncRNA F09F3.16 ncRNA
CAGACUUUGUCGCUGAGCUCGAAUAUAAAAAUACUGUUUAUUAGGUCUGUCAGAUGCAGACAGUCCUGUAUGACACAUUGCACAAAGAGCCAUAGACGCUUCUUUCUUCUUCGGGCAGCAUCAGCUUGUCGCAUUCCGGAACUCUA